AUGAUGUCCAACGGCAAGCCGACAGAAAACAGUGAUUCUUCUUACAUGUCAGGCAUACUGGCCAGCUGCCUACUCAGGGCAAUGCAGCCGACAAGGAGUUUACUUCGCUGGACCGACGAUCUCCAUAAGAUCUUCGUGGAAGCUGUAGAGUAUCAAGGAGGCCCCUAUGGCGAAGCCAACUGCGGUGAAGCAGAGAAUGGAAGCUAUGGGAGUCACAGGCCUGACAAUCUGGAACAUAAAAAGCCACUUCCAAGUACCUCCUGCCCUCUUGCAGCUCUUCAUCAGUUAAUUUUGAGGGUUUUCGUUCCGCCGUGCAGGAUCUCAACACUUGGCUUUGCUCUUCCGUGCCAGAGAUACAGGGAGAAGUGCAAUUUAGGAGCCGAACCUCCUCGGGAUGUCCUAGGCACUGCAUCACCAAGCAAGGCAGGAGAUAAUGUGUAUGGUUCUUUGAUGACAUCUGAGGCCGAGACGGUGGUGGACAGUGAUGCAGCAAUGAAUCUGACUGGAAUGGAGAUGGCGACCUAUUUGCUUAUGGAUGACACGGAGAUGGUGGAUACCGCAUUUUCUGCCGAUGAGUUGCAGAUGAUGGAGAAGGAAUUGAUGAAUGCAAUCCAGGCAUGA
rnacentral:rRNA from 1 species